GGUGCAGUCUUCGUUGUAGUAGCAAGUAUCCACGUGAAAACCUUGAGGGCCGAGGUGGAGAAGGGUCCCAUGGGAACAGCAGUUGGCCAUGGUCAAGCAGGUCCUAAGCGAUCCGGUGACUCGGUGCAGAGUCGUGGGGUGCCUUGCAUGAGUGCGUGCGUGCGUGCGUGCGUGCGCGCAUAGGCGUGGUGUUGUAUGUUGGCAGCCCCCCGGAGCGAAAGGGAAUCGGGUUAACAUUCUCGACCCUGCUCACGGAGAUGGGUGGUGUCGGUCGGUCGGUCGGUCGGUCGUUCGUUCGACACGGGCGGCACCAUCGGGCGCGGUGACGCAAACGAACUCGGAGACGUCGGCAGGAGUUCCGGGGAGAGUUCUCUUUUCUUUGUAAGGACGGUUAUUGCCCCUGGAAUCGGGUUGUCCGGAGAUAGGGGUAUCACCUCCGUAAAGCACCACCUCUCCUGUGGUGUCCGGAAGGCUCUUGUAGGCCCUUGAAAAUCCGAGGGAGGCGGUGUUAUUUUCGUGGCAGGCCGUACCCAUAUCCGCAUCAGGUCUCCAAGGUGAAGAGCCUCUGGCACUGGAAUAAUGUAGGUAAGGGAAGUCGGCAUACUUGAUCCGUAACCUCGGGAAAAGGAUUGGCUCUGAGGGCUGAGUCAAACAGGCUGGGGAAAGAGACGGACUCGCUCAGCUUGCAACUGGCCGGUGGGCUGGCAGGCUAGCUGUUGAGCCACACACCGUGUGGGGUAUGCAGUUGCACUCGCCCGCCUGGUGGCUGGAGGUGAGUAGGGUGAACCGUGGGCGGACCCAGCUGCACGUGCGCCUCGGCUGAUUGGUCGGUUGGUGGGUGGUUGACGCUGCUGCUGCUGCUGCUGCCUGUCGGCGUGUAGAGCAGUGCGCGGCGUUGCUACCACGGCUGUCUGGCUGGCUGGCUGGCCGGCCGGCCGGCAUCGUCGAGUCGGGGCGUGCUUGUUUGACGCCAAACAGCCAACUCAGAACUGGCACGGACGUGGGGGAUCCGACUGUCUAAUUAAAACAAAGCAUUGCGAUGUCUGCUGAUCGGUUUUGACGCAAUGUGAUUUCUGCCCAGUGCUCUGAAUGUCAA
rnacentral:ncRNA from 1 species